UUGUUUAUCAAAAACAUGUCUUUUUGUUUAUAAUUUAAAGUCUAACCUGCCCACUGAUUUUAUAUUUAAAGGCCGCAGUAUUUUGACUGUGCAAAGGUAGCAUAAUCAUUUGUCUUUUAAUUGAAGGCUGGAAUGAAUGGUUGAAUGAGGUAUUAGCUGUCUCAUUUUAAUAAAUUAAUAAUUUAGCUUUUAAAUUAAAAGGUUUAAAUAUUAAUAAAAGACGAGAAGACCCUAUAGAUUUUUAUAUUAUAAUAUUUAAUAUUAUUAAAGUUAAAAAUUUAAAAUUAAUUAUUUUAAUAUUUGGUUGGGGUGACUGAAAAAUUAAAUUAACUUUUUUUAUAUUAAAUACAUUAAUUUAUGAUUAAUUGAUCCAAUUUUAUUGAUUAAAAGAUUAAAUUACCUUAGGGAUAACAGCGUAAUUUUUUUAGAGAGUUCAUAUCGAUAAAAAAGAUUGCGACCUCGAUGUUGAWUWAAAGAUAAUAUUUAAAUGCAGAAGUUUAAAUGUUAGGUCUGUUCGACCUUUAAAUCUUUACAUGAUCUGAGUUCAAACCGG
rnacentral:rRNA from 1 species